UACGGAGGGUGCAAGCGUUAAUCGGAAUUACUGGGCGUAAAGCGUGCGUAGGUGGUUCGUUAAGUCCGUUGUGAAAGCCCCGAGCUCAACUUGGGAAUUGCAGUGGAUACUGGCGAGCUGGAGUGCGGUAGAGGAAGGUGGAAUUCCCGGUGUAGCGGUGAAAUGCGUAGAGAUCGGGAGGAACACCAGUGGCGAAGGCAGCCCCCCUGGGCUAACACUGACGCUCAUGCACGAAAGCGUGGGGAGCAAACAGG
rnacentral:rRNA from 1 species